rnacentral:rRNA from 11 species
CGGUAUUACUGGGCGUAAAGCGCUCGUAGGCGGAUUGGUCAGUCAGAGGUGAAAGCCCAGGGCUCAACCCUGGAAUUGCCUUUGAUACUGCCAGUCUUGAGUUCGGGAGAGGUGAGCGGAAUUCCGAGUGUAGAGGUGAAAUUCGUAGAUAUUCGGAGGAACACCAGAGGCGAAGGCGGCUCACUGGACCGAUACUCACGCUGAGGAGCGAAAGCGUGGGGAG